rnacentral:lncRNA from 1 species
CCCUAACCCUAGAAAACACGGAUAAUGCGUCUUAGAGCAGGCCCCAGGGAAGCGCUGUGGGUGCACCCUGGCACUGACUCCCCCGGAAACAUGGGCCUCAUCUCCUCUCCCAUCUCUUCCCGGCCGCCAGAUACCUGCUGCAGCUCCAGACCUCACAUCUGAGUUCCAGGCAGGAAGACGGACGGGGAAAGGACAAGGUGACAAAUGGAUUUCUUCUGGCAUGUUGCUUCUCUGCAUGGAGCAGAGCUGUGUUCAUCCAGAAAGAAUGUGGCUAUUGGGGGACAACAGCUGUGUCUACCAGUGCACAGCCGUGUGCUCUGCCUUCCAGCACCUGAGGCCUCUAGCCCUGUCACGGGCCCCAGACCCACAAGGCCGGGUUGUUUUGUGCAGGAUGACAGUGCCAGCUACACAAAAAUUCAACAGCCUCUGGGACACAUUGACCAUGGUCUCCCAGUGGCCAGUUCUCAUAGACCUGGAAUCACACCGCUGGCCCGUGGAAACUUACCAGACUCUGUCCCACCCCAGCAAAUCAAUAAAAGCUCCCG